UACGUAGGGUGCAAGCGUUGUCCGGAAUUAUUGGGCGUAAAGAGCUCGUAGGCGGUUUGUCGCGUCGAAUGUGAAAACCCGGGGCUCAACUCCGGGCCUGCAUUCGAUACGGGCAGACUAGAGUUCGGUAGGGGAGACUGGAAUUCCUGGUGUAGCGGUGGAAUGCGCAGAUAUCAGGAGGAACAUCAGUGGCGAAGGCGACCGCCUGGCCCAACACUGACGCUGAGGUGCGAAAGCGUGGGUAGCAAACAGG
rnacentral:rRNA from 1 species